GUCUUCUGACUGGCCAGUGUCACACCCUACCAGUUCCACACAGCUUAGACCAAGUCAGUGAUACCCAGCAGCAGAGGGCCUACUAUUUGCCAAUGGAGAUCACAAACCAAGUCUUCAGAGCUGCACUACGCGACUCAGCAUCUGAGGAAUAUCAGAGCAUGUAUACUGAAGUCAACCACUUGGUAAGAUAAAUAAAGAAAAGUUCGUAGGCGCUCCAAUGAGGUACCUCUUAAUCAUUUCAUGCUUAGCAUGAUAACUUUAUACUGUAGCUAUAUUUUUGCAAUUGUAUCUUUGGUGUCACAACAUUGAGAGUAUAGAGUGGCAAUGGUAAUGAUACUUAAUAUUCUCAGUGGUUUGUAAUUUACAGCACAAAUAUGUUUAUAAUAUUUUAUAAAAAUAUGAGGGGGGCCCAAUUAAUAAAACGAAACAAAAAGAUAUAAAAAACUUUAUUACAGUCAGGUGUAGAAAUAAUUUCAUUGUGCCUUCAAAUAGUACAUGACUGUAAUUUAGUGGCUGUGUAGAAAUUAACCUGCAACAUUGACUCGUCCCAAACCAGGAAGUACCCCAGUAUGGAGUUUAGUUUGGUUGCUGUCAGUGUGGAAACAUUUUCCACACUGACAGAAACUUAAGAUAGUUAAGUGUUAAUGUGUGUUUUUCUUUGUUUUGCAGCUUGGAGGGGUUUACAACUGCUCUGACAACACUGUGUGUCCAACAAAUUCUUUCUAUGGGGGUGUUGCAGAAAUGACAUUCAGGUCUGGAUCAGUAAUCGCAAAUGCAACUGUGGUCUUCAAUACUGUCUCAAUUAACCCUGUCAUUGUGUACUACGUUUUUGUUGACAACGUCAACAAAGUUCAGCCUCAAACCCUGCAGCUCAAUCUGGCUUACACAAGCAUGGACAAAGUACAACAAACUACAGUGCCUCCUGUUACAGCAGCAACACCUACUACAACCACAACAACUGCUGCUACAACCACAACAACACCUACUACAACUACAACACAUACUAUUACCACAACAACACAUACUAUAACCACAACACCUACUACUACACCUACUACAACCACAACACCUACUACUACACCUAUUACAACCACAACAACACAUACUACAACUACAACACAUACUACUACCACAACAACACAAACUACAACCACAGCACCUACUACUACACCUACUACAACCACAACAACACAUACUACAACCACAGCACCUACUACUACACCUACUACAACCACAACAACACAUACUACAGCUACAACACACACUAAUACCACAACACAUACUACAACCACAACACCUACUACUACACCUACUACAACCACAACAACACAUACUACAACCACAACACCUACUACUACACCUACUACAACCACAACAACACAUACUACAGCUACAACACACACUAAUACCACAACACAUACUACAACCACAACACCUACUACUACACCUACUACAACCACAACAACACCUACUACUACACCUACUACAACCACAACAACACAUACUACAACUACAACACACACUACUACCACAACAACACAUAUUACAACAACAACACCCAUUACUACACCUACUACAACCACAACAACACCUACUUCAACCACAACAACACCUACUACAACACCUAGUACAACUAUAACACCUACUACAACCACAACAACAUCUACUACAACCACAACAACACCUAAUACUUUAUCUAGUACAGCCACAACCACAACACCUACUACAACCACAACAACACCUAUUACUACACCUACUACAACCACAACAACAGAUACUACAACCCAUACUAGAGCCAAAACAACGCCUACUACUACUUUAGCCACAAAAACAGCACCUCUAACUACUACUACACAUACUACUACCACAACAACACAUACUUAUAAACCUGAUACAACCACAACAACAGAUACUAAAACAACAGAUAGAAAAAGUAAAACACCUUCUACUUUUCAGACUGCUACCACAACAACAGAUACUACAACAGAUAGUAGAGCCAAAACAACACUUCUGACUACAAAUACACAUUCUACUACCACAUUUACAUUUACAUUUACAUUUACUAGUAACACAAAAAAAAACAUUGUUACUACAACACCUACCAUGAAUGCAACACGUAAUACCACCAGAACAACACCUAAGAAUACUACCACAAUAUUUACUAGUAACAUAACAAUACCUAUCGUUACUAAAACACCUACUACUAUUACAGCAGCUACAAUGACUACUACCACAGAAAAAAGUAUGCCUACUACAUUAACAACACCUACCAACACACCCAUUUCAAACACAACUCAUAGCAAAAUCAUUUCUGCUGUUCCUUUUACAAAUACAACUACACCUAGUAAUACCUCAACACGUACUAUUUCAGCUAAAACAACACCCACAACAAAGCCCGCUCCAAACACUUCAACAACACCAAUUUCAAAGAUAUCAACACCUAGUAAAACUACCUCUAAAACUGCCACAAAGACAAGUACAUCAGUCACACAUUAUACAACCACCACAACACCUGCUAAAAAUAACACAGCUACCUCCAAACCUACACCUCAAACAAAGACAGCUUCACCUACUACUAUUCGAUAUCCUACAACUGCACUACAUAAAAACACAUCCUCUGGUGAGACUGUAGUGGUUUCGACUACCACAUUAAAUACCAGAAAUCAUAGUGAUGGUAACACCAACACUUCUCAAAAGCCAACGUCAGACAGCACUGCAUCUGUGAAGCCAAAUGACAAGGAAACAUCUCAGAGUGUUUCCUCUAGAAAACCGGAUGGUCAUGAGACACCAGAUCACAACAUCAUCACUAGUGGCAGCAACAGCAAGAGCAACAGCAGCAUCAGUAAUGGCAGUGGCAACAAUUCAAACACUGACUGGGUACCUGGAUGGGCUAUAGCCCUCAUAGUAUUAGCUGCUGUCAUUUUACUGCUACUCAUAAUCAUCUUUAUUAUGAUGUUGGUUCGAUGGUGUUGUAAGAAAACAGGCAGUGACCAUAUGGACAUGAGGCAGGAUCCGUAUAACACGAAACAGAAACAACCACCCCAGGCUCCUCUGCCAGUAUACUCUCUUGAACCACCAGUGACACACAGCAUAGCGUCUGCUCCUUUAUUUAUUGUAAGUAUUACAGAGCUACAGUAA
ensembl:lncRNA